GAUUUAAAAGUUCAACAAAAAUUGGUUGUGAUGAGAUUUAAGAAGAAUGGCCUUAAAAAUGGAACCUGGUGUCUAAGUUUUGAUCAUUGUGAUGAAUGCGAGGUUUUGGUAAACUGGAAAACGACUUCUCGUGCCUUCUAAAGGAAUUGGCCUGAGGAUGAAAACUGGUUUGAAAUAUUGCUGCAAUGCAGAGGUUUCAUGCUGAUUCAUGCUGAUAGUAAACCUGUUGAUGCACUUCAUGAAAUAAUGAGGGCUCCACAUU
rnacentral:lncRNA from 1 species